GAUUUCUUAACUAUAAUAAAGUAUGUAUUUUGAAAAUACAAAAAAGAUUUUUAAUCUAGAAGUCUC
rnacentral:tRNA from 1 species